rnacentral:tRNA from 1 species
GGGCUCAUAGAUCAACUGGAAGAUCGCUUGCUUUGCAAGCAAGAGGCUGGGGGUUCGAGUCCCCCUGAGUCCA